rnacentral:sRNA from 1 species
UGGUAGCUUCUCUUCUUCUAGGUAGGUUA